GAGAAGAACGUAGCGAAAUGCGAUAAGUAAUGUGAAUUGCAGAAUUCAGUGAAUCAUCGAAUCUUUGAACGCACAUUGCGCCCGCCAGUAUUCUGGCGGGCAUGCCUGUUCGAGCGUCAUUACAACCCUCAGGCCCCCGGGCCUGGCGUUGGGGAUCGGCGGAGCCCCCCGUGGGCACACGCCGUCCCCCAAAUGCAGUGGCGGUCCCGCCGCAGCUUCCAUCGCGUAGUAGCUAACACCUCGCGACUGGAGAGCGGCGCGGCCACGCCGUAAAACACCCAACUCUUCUGAAGUUGACCUCGAAUCAGGUAGGAAUACCCGCUGAACUUAAGCAUAUCAAUAAGCGGAGGA
rnacentral:misc_RNA from 1 species